CGGAGUCGGGGAUGAAGUCCGGCUCCCGUAGGAGUCCGUCUGUCGUGAAGAAUCUGGUCGAUGCUGGUGGAGGGUUUAUCCAUCGGCGGAACUUGGGAAUGCUGCUGAGGCUCGAUCGCCGAAGAGAUGUCGCCGAAGGUCAGACGCCGGUAGAAUCCCUGAGUGGUCACUCCUAACACGAACUUCAGCUGGGAGGGAUUCUAUACCCAACACCAGUCCCC
rnacentral:lncRNA from 1 species